rnacentral:misc_RNA from 1 species
AACGCACAUUGCGCCCAUUAGUAUUCUAGUGGGCAUGCCUGUUCGAGCGUCAUUUCAACCCUCAGGCCUGUUUGCGUCUGGUGUUGGGGCCUUUUGCUGUACGGCAAGCCCUGAAAAUAAGUGGCGGGCCCGUUGGGACUCCGAGCGUAGUAGUUUACACCUCGCUAAGGAGCGUCUGGCGGGCGACACCAGCCGUUAAAACACCCAUUUCUGAAAAGUUGACCUCGGAUCAGGUAGGAAUACCCGCUGAACUUAA